CCACAGACAUCCUCUGCUGAAAGCGGGGUGCUGCUGCCUCCAAGGCUGAAGCACAAGUCAUUGACAGGGACCCAGGUGGCCCAGUAGCAGUCCUGCCAUGCAUUUACAAGCACUCUGAGGACAGACUACCCUACUUGUAGUUAGCAAUUGGGCUGAAGCGAGCGCGCCCUAGCUGCCUAUUUAUGGCAGCUGCCACUGAAAGCAAGCCCGCCCCCGCCCCUCCCCUUCCCCUGCUCCCGCCCCCGCCCCUCCCCCUCCCCUGCUCCCGCCCCCGCCCCCGCCCCCAGUAGAAGGGCUGCCCUAUGGCUGCUGCCUCCCACAACCAAAUCAUUUUUCUGGGAACCUGGGGAUCAUCUUGGCUCUGCCUAUCACAGCCAGUGCCUGCACGCCCUGCUCCGGCAUCCCCCUAGUGCCUGAGCACGCCAUCCUCCUGUACCCUACUCCAUUACGAUGUGAUUCCUUCGUGUUAAAACUGUGGGUCCAGUGUAAUCAUACGAGCCUUUAAAAGCAGAAGAGGAAGUAGGAAGAGGAAAGCAGAAUGGAUGCAGCAGAAGAGGGAGUCAGCGAGGUUCCAAGGUGUACCUUGCCCUACUAACUUUGGAUCUGGCCAAUGGAAUAUAAGGAGAUUUGACCUGUGCUGCUGUGAUUAACAGACAUCAGAGGCAUGGAAGAAAAACAACAGUAACUAGAUGAAGCAAGGACCACCCUUCUGGACAACAAAGGGAGAGGAAUGAAAGUCUGACCUAGGAAAAGACGGAGUCUCGCUGUGUUGUCCAGGAUGGAGUGCAGUGGUGCUUUCUCAGCUCACUGCAACCUCUGCCUCCCAGUUCAAGCAAUUCUUCUGACUCAGCCUCCUGAGUAGCUGGGAUUACAGGCACCUGCUACCACACCAUGCUAAUUUUUGUAUUUUUAGUAGAGACGGGGUUUCUCCAUGUUGGCCUGGCUGGUCUCGAACUCCUGACCUCAGGUGAUCCACCUGCCUCGGCCUCUCAAAAUGCUAGGAUUACAGGUGUGAGCCACCACACCUGGCCAACUUAUCCUUUUUUUAACAUCUAGUUUUCUGUGAGUGUUUUCUAAUGUGCACUGUAGACGGACAUAGUGGUAUGUGAUUACUAUUCAUAGAUAAAUAAUAAUUUGUUUAUUAUUGUGUAAUAAACAUUGUGUGAUAAAGAAUUUGGCUGACCUUUGUUUCUGGUUCUUGAGAGGUAAUCUUUCAACCCAUGGAGUUUCCCAAGUGAUUGGAGUGUCUUUGUUCUUCAAGGUGGGCCCCAUAGAGCAUAUUUGAUGGUUUAUGCUAAUGUGAUGACUCAGGAUGGAAGCCGGCCAUGUUAGGAAGACCAAAGACAUGAUGAGAUGGUUGGGACUUUGAGCCAGGUGGCAUCA
rnacentral:lncRNA from 1 species